AAGUUGUGUUAGAUACUACGCUUAUAACUUAAGAACAGCUAGACUGAUUUUAACGAUUCAUACAAAUUCGGAAUUGUUUAGCGAAACAGAGCGACACAAUUGAAUGCAUUCAAAUUAUCGCUUGAUGCAAGUUAUAUUGCAGCAUUUUCAUGUGGAUGGGUUUGAUGUAGACUUGCGAACCAACUAUAAAUAUGUUAUUAUAUCAAACUUAUAUUUAGUAAGAAACAAUGAGACACGUUUGCAAAUGUUUAGAUUAGUAAUGGAAUAACCAAGGUGAUGUAUUAUCUAUAUAAAAUAUUGGCAAAAAGAUUCCACAUUUUGGCUGAAUUAUAUGGUUGAAAGUAUUACUGUAAAUCCUGUUUCAUAAAUAUACAUGUGAUUGGUAAUGGUGGUGCUAUAUAUUUAGUUUUAUACAUAUUUGCAAUAUCGCACUUUAAUCAAAAUUUAAUGUCAUCGACGAGUUUUUUAUUUUAAUGCAAAAUAAUGUUAUACCAAUUGAAGUGUCGCACUGUACAUUAAAAUAUUACAGUGGUGAUUUAGAUUUAGUUUCAUACAUAUUUGCAAUAUCGCACUUUAAUCAAAAUAUAAUGUUAUCGAAAAGUUUUCUAUUAUUAUGCAAAAUAAUGUUAUACCAAUUGAAGUGUCGCACUGUACUUUAAAAUAUUACAGUGGAAUUACCUGAUUCCCUUAUUUUUUUUUCCUUUUACAGUAAAUAAAAUCGGAAAGAAGGAGCAAAGCCAAAUAUUUUGUAUAUUGAAUUUAUUAUUUCUUCAAAAAGCUAUUUUAUGCUUACAGAUUGUUGUAUGUCUGAACAGUUUUUAUUUAAAGUUACUAUUGACAUACAGAAAAGUAAAUUCUAUCGCAUUGGAAAAUUAAAAAAAAAAAAAAAAAACAAA